rnacentral:miRNA from 1 species
CCUCGGUACUGGAAAGGGGUA